rnacentral:rRNA from 1 species
GAUGAACGCUGGCGGCGUGCCUAAUACAUGCAAGUCGAGCGAACGGACGAGAGGCUUGCUUCUCUGAUGUUAGCGGCGGACGGAUGAGUAACACGUGGAUAACCUACCUAUAAGACUGGGAUAACUUCGGGAAACCGGAGCUAAUACCGGAUAAUAUUUUGAACCGCAUGGUUCAAAAGUGAAAGACGGUCUUGCUGUCACUUAUAGAUGGAUCCGCGCUGCAUUAGCUAGUUGGUAAGGUAACGGCUUACCAAGGCAACGAUGCAUAGCCGACCUGAGAGGGUGAUCGGCCACACUGGAACUGAGACACGGUCCAGACUCCUACGGGAGGCAGCAGUAGGGAAUCUUCCGCAAUGGGCGAAAGCCUGACGGAGCAACGCCGCGUGAGUGAUGAAGGUCUUCGGAUCGUAAAACUCUGUUAUUAGGGAAGAACAUAUGUGUAAGUAACUGUGCACAUCUUGACGGUACCUAAUCAGAAAGCCACGGCUAACUACGUG